GUGUGAGAAUUAAACGAAAACCCCGACAUAAAAAGUGAAAAACAUGCAGACCAGUGAGGGAAUUGGUGCUGCUUGCCAUGAAGAAGUGUUUCAAUGUUUGACUCGGUGGAUGAGGUAGACAACAGAAUAAUAUCACAGAGGUGGAGAUCUGGGAGAUGGGAGCAAAGUCGAAACUGUAGACCCGAUCGCGCGCGGAAGGGUUUCGAUCGCUGGCCAGCCAACGAAAACUAGUGAUUAUAAGAACGGCCCUUUGUGUCCUUCAUUUUGGAGCAGCUCAAAACAGCAGAUGCAUCAAGGCAAGGAAAAUAUUCAAAAUUAACAUCAGACAACUGAACAUAUCUAAACCUCAACCUCGAAGGCACUGAUGCAAGUCUGUCAGAAAAUGCCAUUCUUUGCCUUAAUUGCAGCUUCUCAUUGAGGGCGUUCAGAUGCGCAGUGAGUGUUGUUCUUGCGUAAGCACAGGCAAGCGAGCCAUUGCGGAUCAAAGUGAUCAGCUUGGGGAAGAUUCUUCUGACUCCACUAAGUGACUUAUUAAUUUGUUCUGACGGAUGUCCAUGAUCCGUGUAGGCGUAUGUCCAACAGGAAGGAAAGAUGAAUGUUGAAAAGCAGAGAUGAAACUUGACCAGGCCGGAUGGCAGCAUGACAGCACAGUUUUUUUAUGACAAUAGGAGGCAUCCCCUCUAUCAACAGGUCCAUAGUAUUGGCUUAUGAGGAGCCUGCCACUACCGCGCGCCGCUUGGUUAAAAUUUCGAGUCGGCGGAGAUGGAAGCUAUAUUCUCCCACGGUUCAGUCAACUGGACCGUGGGUAACAGCAAUACAAGGUGCAAGGUCAAGGAGUUGUCGCCUGUAACGAGAUGAUGAGGCACUGGCAGAAGCGCGUAGCCCGCUGCUGAUGUGAUAUCCUGCAGUAUCUCAGUGGUAUAAAUGGUUGCAGGACAAAUUUAAGGACGAAAAAGGACAGUGCAGUUAGAUACUUUGUGAAAUUGUCAACCAUGUAUUUUCUCAAAGAAGAGAGAGAGAGAGAGAGAGAGAGAGAGAGGCUACUAAUAUUUUUUUUACCACAACUCACGUGCGAGGAAUCAAGUUUCUUAAAAAAAAAAAAAUCCCCUAAAGCUUGUCCUCCAUCUCUAUCCACACGAGAAACUCCCCCCCAUGGACUGUUGUCGUAUUGAAUGCCAGUGAACAAAGCCCUCGUUGUUGGCUAAUAUCAAUGUCUGGCAACCACUUCGCCUCACAUCUGUUGCUGCCCCAUGCAAGGCCUUAAUUGGCGCAAAUCACCAAUAGUCAAUAGUUGUCAUGAGUCACCAGCACGCUUAAUUACGCGGGGAGAAUUUGUCUCGCUCAGCCAAGUGGCAUCCUGAAAAAAAUCUUAUUUACCAUACAUAUUAAUUUUCAAUACCAAUAUUCUUACUAAUAUAAACACAAUGUUAUUUGUCUAUAAUAAUUUAUGAUGUCAACUCAAGUACAUAAUGUAAAUAUCUUUUUAGAGGCGAAACAGUGAUCGAAGGGGUGUUGCAGCUACAUCAUUUUUCACGAGUGAACCAAAGCGAAUAUUACAAAAAAAAUAAUUUGUAUCGCCUUUCUAGAGAUUAUUCUUCGCACAGUAAGUAUGGAACACAUAACCGUUACGUGUUUUUUGCGAAAAAAACGAAAAUGUGUGGCCGAAGCCGAAAUGAUCUGCUCAGUUGACGCCGAAAUCGAAAUUGACGAACCCUCCUGCCAGAACCAAAACAAACAUCCCGCGCGCUUAUUUACUUGUUGCUGCUACUGUCCUCGAACAUGACAGUCUACAUAUGUGCUGUUGCCGACUGCAAAUCCUCUUCGCAGAAGAAGGAUCCUGAGGUGAAGGGCUGGGCUCGUUUUCCAAAGAAAAAAGAGGCUGCCCGAAGACGUUUGUGGGUGACCAGAUGUAAGAGGGGACCUACAUGGAAAGUCACCCGACACCAUGCACUGUGCUCAAAUCACUUUAUAGACUGGAACAACGGGCCGUCACCAUCGCAUCCUGAUCCAGAGUUGUUCGGCUACAAUCAAUGGAAGCCGAAAAACAACGCUGGUGCCAUCAGUGGGCUUGGAGCACGAACACCAGCGGCUGACAGAGGCGAUCAAGAACCACUAACCCAGUCACUGCCCUCUUCACACUCUGCCCCUGCCUUGCCAGUCAACAUUGACUUCAUAAAGGAAACUGACGAAGAAGUACAAACUGAUGUCCAUAUUGAAGUCGAGACAUGGGCUCACAAUGCAUCAGUUCAAGUUGAUGCUGAACAGUUUCUCCAGAUAGAGGUGGUGCUGGAACCACAGGAUCACACCUAUUCAGCAUCAGCCAUUGCUACUACUUCAGCAGCUGAGCCCAAGGAUGUUGGAGUACAAGUUGAAAGGGAGGCAGAUCUAACAGAAGCACCUACUGAUCAGAGAGCCCAGACCAGAGGAAGGAUUCUUGCUAGUGACAAGAGUGUUCAGCGCUAUACAGGUCUUCCUAACAAAAGUGUUUUGAUUUCUA